CAAAGUAUAUCUAAGUUAGUUUAGAAUUUCGCUUACAUUGAAAUUUAUUAUCGUGCAAAUCGGUUUACUUUGA
rnacentral:tRNA from 1 species